rnacentral:rRNA from 1 species
GACGAACGCUGGCGGCGUGCCUAAUACAUGCAAGUAGAACGCUGAAGCGAGGAGCUUGCUCUUCUUGGAUGAGUUGCGAACGGGUGAGUAACGCGUAGGUAACCUGCCUUGUAGCGGGGGAUAACUAUUGGAAACGAUAGCUAAUACCGCAUAACAAUGGAUGACACAUGUCAUUUAUUUGAAAGGGGCAAUUGCUCCACUACAAGAUGGACCUGCGUUGUAUUAGCUAGUAGGUGAGGUAAUGGCUCACCUAGGCGACGAUACAUAGCCGACCUGAGAGGGUGAUCGGCCAAACUGGGACUGGGACACGGCCCAGACUCCUACGGGAGGCAGCAGUAGGGAAUCUUCGGCAAUGGGGGCAACCCUGACCGAGCAACGCCGCGUGAGUGAAGAAGGUUUUCGGAUCGUAAAGCUCUGUUGUAAGUCAAGAACGGGUGUGAGAGUGGAAAGUUCACACUGUGACGGUAGCUUACCAGAAAGGGACGGCUAACUACGUG